UACGUAGGGUGCAAGCGUUAAUCGGAAUUACUGGGCGUAAAGCGUGCGCAGGCGGCUUUGCAAGACAGAUGUGAAAUCCCCGGGCUUAACCUGGGAACUGCAUUUGUGACUGCAAAGCUGGAGUGCGGCAGAGGGGGAUGGAAUUCCGCGUGUAGCAGUGAAAUGCGUAGAUAUGCGGAGGAACACCGAUGGCGAAGGCAAUCCCCUGGGCCUGCACUGACGCUCAUGCACGAAAGCGUGGGGAGCAAACAGG
rnacentral:rRNA from 1 species